rnacentral:rRNA from 1 species
AAGGUUCGACCUGAGCUCAGGCAAGGCUACCCG